GAUGAACGCUGGCGGCGUGCUUAACACAUGCAAGUCGAACGGAAAGGCCCAAGCUUGCUUGGGUACUCGAGUGGCGAACGGGUGAGUAACACGUGGGUGAUCUGCCCUGCACUUCGGGAUAAGCCUGGGAAACUGGGUCUAAUACCGGAUAGGACGAUGGUUUGGAUGCCAUUGUGGAAAGUUUUUUCGGUGUGGGAUGAGCUCGCGGCCUAUCAGCUUGUUGGUGGGGUAAUGGCCUACCAAGGCGUCGACGGGUAGCCGGCCUGAGAGGGUGUACGGCCACAAUGGGACUGAGAUACGGCCCAGACUCCUACGGGAGGCAGCAGUGGGGAAUAUUGCACAAUGGGCGCAAGCCGGAUGCAGCGACGCCGCGUGGGGGAUGACGGCCUGCGGGUUGUAAUCUCCUUUCGCUAGGGACGAAGCGUUUUGUGACGGUACCUGGAGAAGAAGCACCGGCUAACUACGUG
rnacentral:rRNA from 1 species